UACGAAGGGGGCUAGCGUUGCUCGGAAUCACUGGGCGUAAAGCGCACGUAGGCGGAUUGUUAAGUCAGGGGUGAAGUCCUGGAGCUCAACUCCAGAACUGCCUUUGAUACUGGCGAUCUUGAGUCCGGGAGAGGUGAGUGGAACUCCGAGUGUAGAGGUGAAAUUCGUAGAUAUUCGGAAGAACACCAGUGGCGAAGGCGGCUCACUGGCCCGGUACUGACGCUGAGGUGCGAAAGCGUGGGGAGCAAACAGG
rnacentral:rRNA from 1 species